rnacentral:rRNA from 1 species
UACAGAGGUCCCAAGCGUUGUUCGGAUUCAUUGGGCGUAAAGGGUGCGUAGGCGGCGCGGUAAGUCGGGUGUGAAAUCUCGGAGCUUAACUCCGAAACUGCAUUCGAUACUGCCGUGCUUGAGGACUGGAGAGGAGACUGGAAUUUACGGUGUAGCGGUGAAAUGCGUAGAUAUCGUAAGGAAGACCAGUGGCGAAGGCGGGUCUCUGGACGGUUCCUGACGCUGAGGCACGAAGGCCAGGGGAGCAAACGGG